GAGUUUGAUCGUGGCUCAGAUUGAACGCUGGCGGCAUGCCUUACACAUGCAAGUCGAACGGCAGCACGGGAGCUUGCUCCUGGUGGCGAGUGGCGAACGGGUGAGUAAUGCAUCGGAACGUAUCCUGGAGUGGGGGAUAACGUAGCGAAAGUUACGCUAAUACCGCAUAUUCUGUGAGCAGGAAAGCGGGGGACCUUCGGGCCUCGCGCUCUUGGAGCGGCCGAUGUCGGAUUAGCUAGUUGGUGAGGUAAAGGCUCACCAAGGCGACGAUCCGUAGCAGGUCUGAGAGGAUGAUCUGCCACACUGGAACUGGA
rnacentral:rRNA from 1 species